UCGGAAUAAACAUGUAUAAGGACAUAUAAACAUGGAAAAAGACUAUCUACAUGAGUUUUCACAUUAAGGUCAUACAAAUUAACUGUCUCUUAAUCAACUAAAAUACAUACAAAUGCUAUAUGUGUGAUUGCUCGUUUUACUUAUUCCAAAUUAAUUUAAUAGGAAUAAAUCCGUAUAGGAAGAUUCAAACACAAGGAAUGACU
rnacentral:lncRNA from 1 species